CUGUUUGAAAAAUAAAUUAAGAUAUAAUAAUAAUUAUUGUGGAAUUGGAAGGCAAGGAGUGGAAGCGCAGACAGAGACCUAAAUUAUGGUUAGCGGACGGAGCAAUCUGGCAGCUAAGACAGUAGAGAGGUAGCCGAGCCAAAUCCCGAUGACGCAACCCAAGUCACCACACCUAUUCUAUUCCCUCUUUACUUCACGCGCUUACCCACGUCCCGGCGACCCCUAUCUUUUAUUUCCCCUACACUUUCGCCCCAUGCGUCCGGCGCGUCACCUUCGCCGCACCGACCCCGUUUUCUUGUAUUUUUUCUUGGUCAGAGAUCCCCUUUGCUCUUUCACCUUCUCUCUCACAUCAAUAUCACACGAACCGAGAAUAACCUAAUACACCACCAUCACCAACGAGAAUACGACGACGACCACCACCACCAUCCACCAUUAGAAAGAGAUGGGUGACCUCACGGAUUCUGUUACGCAGUCCACCACCCCUCACUCACGACCGUUGCCUAUCCGUGAGGAUUGCUGGAGCGAGGAGGCUACCUCUACUCUUGUCGAAGUUUGGGGCAAAAGGUAUUUGGAGCUCAACCGAGGUAAUCUCCGUCAGAAGGACUGGCAGGAAGUCGCCGACGCCGUCAACGCCAAACAUGGUCAUACGAAGAAGACUCACCGUACGGAUGUGCAGUGUAAGAACCGUAUCGACACGAUUAAGAAGAAGUACAAGAUCGAGAAGGCUAAGGUUACGUCCUCUAACGGAACGCUAACAUCGUCGUGGCCUUUCUUCGAGAGCUUAGAUAACUUGAUCGGAUCUAAUUUUACCGCUAAGAAACAAGCUUCUCCGUCUCCUCCGGUGGCUCUGCCUGUAACUACCUACAGGAGGACUCCCACUUCGACUCCGCCUACGGCGGUGGUGGCUUUGCCCCAGAAGAGGCCGUUGGAUGAUGGCUAUUUCAGGAGGAAUUACUCCGCCAUGGCUGCAGCUGCGGCAGCCGCAGCUGAAUCGGAGAGUGAAGAGGAGGAGGAGGAGGAGAGGUGGAGAUUCCAAAGAGGGAGUAGUAAAACAGUUGAUGAGAAGGGGAGAAUGUAAAACCUUGGGAACUUUCUUGCCGUUAGUUUUGA
rnacentral:misc_RNA from 1 species